rnacentral:rRNA from 3 species
AAACUUUCAACAACGGAUCUCUUGGUUCUGGCAUCGAUGAAGAACGCAGCGAAAUGCGAUAAGUAAUGUGAAUUGCAGAAUUCAGUGAAUCAUCGAAUCUUUGAACGCACAUUGCGCCCCCUGGUAUUCCGGGGGGCAUGCCUGUCCGAGCGUCAUUG